CAUUGUUCCCUUUAAGUUGCGCCCAAUGCAGAUUUCAGUUCCUAAAAAACCCAAAUAGGGUAAUAAAUGUUAAGGGAAGGAGGUCUGAUUUGCCUCUUCCUAAACUGAUGACCUGGUAGGAACAUUGCUGAUUGAGGAGAAACACGUCGGGGUUCCUGCUAACACGGAGACACGCUCACGGCUGUCGGAAUGAUUAUUCAAUUUGUGCCGCAGAGGGGGAAAGACAGGAGAGUUAGAAAGGCGGGUUCCAAGCGAGGGCUGCCAUCAAGGCGUUUGGUGUGGAGCGCCUCUUCAGGCACGCGAGCCCCAGUGAGUCCAGUGUCCCUGGGAGUAGAUGACAUCAGCAUCCCGGUUUACAGAGAGAAUCUCAGGGCGGCUUUCAUGCUGGAUCAACGAGCAGACCUGAGAUGUCAUUGACAGAGAGAUGUCCCCCCGCCUCCAGCUGAGCGACAGAGAUGAAGCAGAAGCUGCUUUUGAUUUUUAAAAUUUUUUUUAUUUUUGUAAAUUUAUAUCCAAAGAGUUAGCGUCUGGUGCAAGGACGAUUUCAGGAGUAGAUGCCUUAGUGCCCCUUACGCAUUUAGCCCAUCCCCCCUCCCACACCCCCUCCAGGAACCCUCUGUUUGUUCUCCAUAUUUAUGAGUCUCUUCUGUUUUGUCCCCCUCCCUGGUUUUAUAUUAUUUUUGCUUCGCUUCCCUCUUGUUCAUCUGUUUUGUCUCUUAAAGUCCUCAAAUGAGGGAAAUCA